AGGGUUCGAUUCUGGCUCAGGAUGAACGCUAGCGACAGGCUUAACACAUGCAAGUCGAGGGGCAGCAUAAAAGUAGCAAUACUUGGUGGCGACCGGCGCACGGGUGAGUAACGCGUAUGCAACCUACCUAUCAGAGGGGAAUAACCCGGCGAAAGUCGGACUAAUACCGCAUAAAACAGGGGCACCGCAUGGUGAUAUUUGUUAAAGAAAUUCGCUGAUAGAUGGGCAUGCGUUCCAUUAGGUAGUUGGUGAGGUAACGGCUCACCAAGCCGACGAUGGAUAGGGGAACUGAGAGGUUGGUCCCCCACACUGGUACUGAGACACGGACCAGACUCCUACGGGAGGCAGCAGUGAGGAAUAUUGGUCAAUGGGCGGGAGCCUGAACCAGCCAAGUCGCCGUGAAGGAAGAAGGAUCUAUGGUUCGUAAACUUCUUUUGCAGGGGAAUAAAGUGCAGGACGUGUCCUGUUUUGUAUGUACCCUGAGAAUAAGGAUCGGCUAACUCCGUGCCAGCCGCGGC
rnacentral:rRNA from 1 species